rnacentral:rRNA from 1 species
AACGAACGCUGGCGGCAUGCCUAACACAUGCAAGUCGAACGAGACCUUCGGGUCUAGUGGCGCACGGGUGCGUAACGCGUGGGAACCUGCCUUUAGGUUCGGAAUAACUCAGAGAAAUUUGAGCUAAUACCGGAUAAUGUCUUCGGACCAAAGAUUUAUCGCCUUUAGAUGGGCCCGCGUAAGAUUAGCUAGUUGGUGGGGUAAAGGCCUACCAAGGCGACGAUCUUUAGCUGGUCUGAGAGGAUGAUCAGCCACACUGGGACUGAGACUCGGCCCAGACUCCUACGGGAGGCAGCAGUGGGGAAUAUUGGACAAUGGGCGAAAGCCUGAUCCAGCAAUGCCGCGUGAGUGAUGAAGGCCUUAGGGUUGUAAAGCUCUUUUACCCGAGAUGAUAAUGACAGUAUCGGGAGAAUAAGCUCCGGCUAACUCCGUGCCAGCAGCCGCGGUAAU